AGGGGCAGGUGAUAUAAGGCAGUUAUGGUGUCUCAUUUACCUUAUUCUUUUCUAUAUGGACCCGGAAAAGGGCAGAAUAAAUACAGGAGAGAUUGUUGUGUUGCUUCGUUCUCUUGUUGUCAGGCAAGCCCUAGGUGGCCUGGGAUUUGACAAUGGUUUAUUGUCAUAACUCUCAAUGGAAAUUAAUUCAUGCUUUGGAGGAUAUGGUUGGGAGGAUUUCACUAAGGUAACAGAUGGGUUUCAUGAAAAAAGAACUGGAACAGAAUCUUGCUGGGAACAGGGCAGAUCUCUCUGCAAACCUCGCCUAAACUUCAAUCUGCUUGUUAUUUUGCAUUGCAAAAUCAUCUCCAUGGACACAAAUGCUAUGCAGCCUUAAAACAAAAAUUACAUGCCAGAAAGAUGAUUUGAAUACAUCCCAGUAUCUUGACAUUUUCAGGAAACCAGUUUGCAAAAUACCAUUUGGCUAAUAAAGGAGGUGUUUGGUCUAUUAUAUGUACAACGUUGUAUGAAAAUCAAAAUAUACAAUUACCUUGUAAAAAAGGGGAAAUUAUAGUGAUCAAAGUAUCUGUGUUGAAAAUACGUUUUCUUGGAAUAGCAUUUGAAAGUGAGUGAACUGAAAUCAUAAUAAAGCAUGGGGAUAUGUCCCCUCCAAAAAAUGCAUACUAAUUGUCACAAAAAUGAUUUUUAGUUUAAUGUUCAAAUAUAUUUUCCCUAAAGCAAUUAUGAUUCCAUUUACUGGAUGAAAGCUAGUAUGAUUAAAAUUAUAGUUUAUUUGUCUCUAGAAUACUUUUAUGCAAUGAUAUUUUAAUGUUGCUAGGAAGCAACAGAAAAAUCUUUCCUUUGCAAUGUCUACAAACAGAUAGAAUGAGAGAGAUACGAUAGAUAGAUAGAUAGAUAGAUAGAUAGAUAGAUAGAUAGAUAGAUAGAUGCAUGAUAGAUAGAUAUUGUAGAUGAUAGCUAUCUAUCGUCGUUCUUUCCCAUACUAGCAAGUAUAUAAAUAUUUUCCCCUGGUAAUUACAGUUCUGGAUUGUUAUUAUGCUAACAUAAAUCAGUGCUUGGAACUAAUAUGUGCUCAUUACUCCUAAAUAUAAUGGCAUGCCUUCACAAGAAUUAUUCAAAUAUCAAUUCAUAAAGAUUUGUAGCAUUUUUAUUUUAUUUUCAUGAGCAAUGUUUUUAGAAUAUAAAGUGCAUUUAAAUUAAGAUUAAUACAAAGGAUACUGAAAUCACUGAUGUUCUUGUUUUCAGAAGCUACUGUUGAAAAGAAAAAAAUAAAAAGCUUAAAACUAAGAAGUGGUAUAUAGUGCAUUGAACCUAAAUGGUUCAAUUGAAAGUUGAUAUUUAUGGAUUAAUGGCCAAAAUUAUAGCUGUAUACACAGACAUCACCAUAUGGAAUAUACAGAAAUCAAAUUGAUCAUAAUACUCUUAAAAGGAGGUGGAGAAGCUCAGUUAUAGCAUAAAAAACAUGAUCAUAGUGACUCUACAACAUAUCAUGAACUGCUUUUGUUAAAGAUUUAUUUAUUUAUCCAAUUUAUAAAGGCAGCCCAUUUCAAAAAUUAUCUCAGGACAGCCAUAAAAAAUAGAUAAAGAAACAAAAUUCCAAGUUAAGUUAAAAGAAAAAAGAAAGUCAAUCAGUUUCUUCAAUCUGACCUUGACUAUUUCCAAUUAUUUUCAAGGAGAACAUCAGAAUUUGCUCUGACGUCCUGAAUUUUAUUAAUAAACUAGAGGAAGUGUGAAAUGUUGUUGUUAAGGAUGAAUGUGAAGAAAGAUUGCCAAGAUGAAGAAACAGAAGAACACAAACUGGAUAUCAGAAUAAACCAUGGAAAUUGCCAAGAAGACAAAAGAGGCCAAAGCCAAGAAAGGCAAAAAAACUUAGAAAAGCACUUGGAGCAGGGGUCCUCAACCUUGGCCACUUUAUGACUUGUGGACUUCAACUCCCAGAAUUCCUCAGCCAGCCAUGUUGAAGUCCACAAGUCAUAAAGGGGCCACGGUUGGGGACCUCUGACUUAAGAGUUUCAGAAAGCUGCUAAAGAGGCAAGAAGAAGCAGAGACAAGAAACAGAUUUGUGAAGAUACUGAAAAUGGAAACAGGCAUGGAAAAACAUGGAAAGCCUUCCAAAAGAUUUCUAAAAUGUGUCUGGAAUUUCAAAAUCUUGUCCUGCUCCAUCAAGUGGCAUCCAAAAAUUUCCUGGAUUGAACAAGAGUGGUGACAAAGAGGCAGCAAUAAGUAGCAGCAGAUGAAAAGACCUAGGGUUCUCUAGUAUCUGAGAAACUGUAUCUGUUCCCAGCUGUAUCCUCCUUCGUAUGUGAAGGAAGUCCUGAUAAGUUUAAGACUGCUCUGUGUGCACAAAAGAUUGAAGGUGAAGAGAUGUGUGACUUCAUGUAGCAAACACUUGUUUAGCUUGGUUUCUUUCAUUUCACAGAUAUAGACCUAAGAGGUAGAGAUUUCAGAUUUUAUUCCACAGGCACUGAUCAUGGCAGGUUAUUUGUGAUUAUUCUGCAAUCAGUAUAAGGAAUGUUUGACCUAUCACAGAUAGUCUAAAACAGGGGUUUUCAACCUUUUCACCCAUUGUAUCACUUUUAGGAUACGGCAAUAUCCGAGUAUCACCAGUCGCCUAGCAAGGUGUCAAAAACUUGAUGACCCCCCCCCAAAAAGGGAAAAAAGUG